rnacentral:rRNA from 1 species
CGAAAACGAAUUCUCUCUUGAGUGGAUCCUGAGUACGACGGAGCACGUGAAAUUCCGUCGGAAUCUGGGAGGACCAUCUCCUAAGGCUAAAUACUCUCUAGUGACCGAUAGUGAACCAGUACCGUGAGGGAAAGGUGAAAAGUACCCCGGAAGGGGAGUGAAAGAGAACUUGAAACCGUGUGCUUACAAGUAGUCAGAGCCCGUUAAUGGGUGAUGGCGUGCCUUUUGUAGAAUGAACCGGCGAGUUACGAUCUGAUGCAAGGUUAAGCAGAAAAUGUGGAGCCGUAGCGAAAGCGAGUCUGAAUAGGGCGAAUGAGUAUUUGGUCGUAGACCCGAAACCAGGUGAUCUACCCUUGGUCAGGUUGAAGUUCAGGUAACACUGAAUGGAGGACCGAACCGACUUACGUUGAAAAGUGAGCGGAUGAACUGAGGGUAGCGGAGAAAUUCCAAUCGAACUUGGAGAUAGCUGGUUCUCUCCGAAAUAGCUUUAGGGCUAGCCUCAAGUGAUGAUUAUUGGAGGUAGAGCACUGUUUGGACGAGGGGCCCCUCUCGGGUUACCGAAUUCAGACAAACUCCGAAUGCCAAAUAAUUUAACUUGGGAGUCAGAAUGUGGGUGAUAAGGUCCAUAUUCGAAAGGGAAACAGCCCAGACCACCAGCUAAGGUCCCAAAAUAUAUGUUAAGUGGAAAAGGAUGUGGCGUUGCCCAGACAACUAGGAUGUUGGCUUAGAAGCAGCCAUCAUUUAAAGAGUGCGUAAUAGCUCACUAGUCGAGUGACACUGCGCCGAAAAUGUACCGGGGCUAAACAUAUUACCGAAGCUGUGGAUUGUCCUUUGGACAAUGGUAGGAGAGCGUUCUAAGGGCGUUGAAGCAUGAUCGCAAGGACAUGUGGAGCGCUUAGAAGUGAGAAUGCCGGUGUGAGUAGCGAAAGACGGGUGAGAAUCCCGUCCACCGAUUGACUAAGGUUUCCAGAGGAAGGCUCGUCCGCUCUGGGUUAGUCGGGUCCUAAGCUGAGGCCGACAGGCGUAGGCGAUGGAUAACAGGUUGAUAUUCCUGUACCACCAUUAUUCGUUUUAAGCGAUGGGGGGACGCAGUAGGAUAGGCGAAGCGUGCUGUUGGAGUGCACGUCCAAGCAGUGAGAUUGAGUGUUAGGCAAAUCCGGCACUCUUAAGAUUGAGCUGUGAUGGGGAGAGGAACUUGUUCCUCGAGUCGUUGAUUUCACACUGCCGAGAAAAGCCUCUAGCUAGAAUAACGGUGCCCGUACCGCAAACCGACACAGGUAGUCAAGAUGAGAAUUCUAAGGUGAGCGAGCGAACUCUCGUUAAGGAACUCGGCAAAAUGACCCCGUAACUUCGGGAGAAGGGGUGCUCUUUGAGGUUCACGCUUCGAAGAGCCGCAGUGAAUAGGCCCAAGCGACUGUUUAUCAAAAACACAGGUCUCUGCUAAACCGUAAGGUGACGUAUAGGGGCUGACGCCUGCCCGGUGCUGGAAGGUUAAGAGGAGUGGUUAGCGCAAGCGAAGCUACGAAUCGAAGCCCCAGUAAACGGCGGCCGUAACUAUAACGGUCCUAAGGUAGCGAAAUUCCUUGUCGGGUAAGUUCCGACCCGCACGAAAGGCGUAACGAUUUGGGCACUGUCUCAACGAGAGACUCGGUGAAAUCAUAGUACCGGUGAAGAUGCCGGUUACCCGCGACAGGACGGAAAGACCCCGUGGAGCUUUACUGUAGCCUGAUAUUGAAAUUCGGUACAGUUUGUACAGGAUAGGUAGGAGCCUUAGAAGCGUGAGCGCUAGCUUACGUGGAGGCAUUGGUGGGAUACUACCCUAAUUGUAUUGGAUUUCUAACCCGCAGCACUUAUCGUGCUGGGAGACAGUGUCAGGCGGGCAGUUUGACUGGGGCGGUCGCC